GGGCGUAAAGCGAGCGCAGGCGGUUAGAUAAGUCUGAAGUUAAAGGCUGUGGCUUAACCAUAGUACGCUUUGGAAACUGUUUAACUUGAGUGCAGAAGGGGAGAGUGGAAUUCCAUGUGUAGCGGUGAAAUGCGUAGAUAUAUGGAGGAACACCGGUGGCGAAAGCGGCUCUCUGGUCUGUAACUGACGCUGAGGCUCGAAAGCGUGGGGAGCAAA
rnacentral:rRNA from 1 species